UCGAGCGGACCGACGGGAGCUUGCUCCCUUAGGUCAGCGGCGGACGGGUGAGUAACACGUGGGUAACCUGCCUGUAAGACUGGGAUAACUCCGGGAAACCGGGGCUAAUACCGGAUGCUUGAUUGAACCGCAUGGUUCAAUCAUAAAAGGUGGCUUUUAGCUACCACUUACAGAUGGACCCGCGGCGCAUUAACUAGUUGGUGAGGUAACGGCUCACCAAGGCGACGAUGCGUAACCGACCUGAGAGGGUGAUCGGCCACACUGGGACUGAAACACGGCCCAGACUCCUACGGGAGGCAGCAGUAGGGAAUCUUCCGCAAUGGACGAAAGUCUGACGGAACAACGCCGCGUGAGUGAUGAAGGUUUUCGGAUCGUAAAACUCUGUUGUUAGGGAAGAACAAGUACCGUUCGAAUAGGGCGGUACCUUGACGGUACCUAACCAAAAAGCCACGGCUAACUAC
rnacentral:rRNA from 1 species